rnacentral:rRNA from 1 species
UGAGGAAUAUUGGACAAUGGAGGCAACUCUGAUCCAGCCAUGCCGCGUGCAGGAAGACUGCCCUAUGGGUUGUAAACUGCUUUUAUAUAGGAAGAAACCUACUUACGUGUAAGUAGCUGACGGUACUAUAAGAAUAAGGAUCGGCUAACUCCGUGCCAGCAGCCGCGGUAAUACGGAGGAUCCAAGCGUUAUCCGGAAUCAUUGGGUUUAAAGGGUCCGUAGGUGGAUAAUUAAGUCAGAGGUGAAAUCUUGCAGCUCAACUGUAAAAUUGCCUUUGAUACUGGUUAUCUUGAGUUAUUAUGAAGUAGUUAGAAUAUGUAGUGUAGCGGUGAAAUGCAUAGAUAUUACAUAGAAUACCAAUUGCGAAGGCAGAUUACUAAUAAUCAACUGACACUGAUGGACGAAAGCGUGGGUAGCGAACAGG